rnacentral:lncRNA from 1 species
GUUCUGUUAAGAAUGUCAGUUAAGAGGGACCAACUGCCUCUUCUUGCCUCAGACUUGCCCUAUGUGGUUGUAUUUAGUUUCUCUCAUUAUGCAGUUUUGAUUAUUAUUAAAGCUUAGUUUAUAUUUUUGCGAGCCUCUUAUUUUUCUCGAAGAAACUCUGCUGAGGAAAGCAGUGGAAUGUCCUAAACUACAUGAGUGAGGGAAUAUUCCCAGUUUGCCAGGAUUGAUUUUGUUAACCAUCCUCACCACCACCCCCCCACACCUCCAUGACAAAAAGAUUGCUGAAAUAAGAUUACAGACAAGAUUCAAUGAGGAAAAAGUUCAGACUGCAAAGGGGAGAAAAAUGGUCUUCAUUUACUGUAUAUUUAAUGAUUUUUAAAACUCACUGGUUUACAACCACAACUCACAUAGUGUUUGUUAUGCCAUGCCAUGCCAAUCUCUACGAGCAGUGUGAGAUUCCAGGGGUAUCAGGCGUGCUUACCAGGGUCUGUGUUCCCUUUCGGGACAGUGAGGCACCACAGAGACUUGUGGUGUCUUUAUAUGGUUUAUUUACACAUAUAUGUAACCUGCACCUAAAUGGGAGGAUUGUAGAGCAUUCACAUCCUAAGAGGGGCUGGUGCUUCCCAGCAGUACAACAUUGGAUUCAGAGGCACCCCUUGUCUAGUUCUGCCGCUUCCUCCUCCUUUCCAGCAACACUUGUAGAAAACAACUUUUCUGCUUCCAGCAUCCUGCCCCCCGCCCCGGUCACACUGGCAACUUACUCAAGCCCACUGCAAAAGGCCCUUUUUCCCUAUUGCUUACAGCAGACGAUUGGCAAUCCUACCCAAAAAAACUACUGGGAACAGAGUCUGAUAUUUUGCCAAUUGCUCACCAUUAUCAAACAAACCAGGUCCUUACCAGCCCUUUGCUUCUUCAAGACCCACCCACAGCAAACCGUUUCAUGAGGAAGCUAGCUAGUAUUCUUUCCUGCCCUUGCUAAUUAAUAAAUGUAUGAGUUUGCUCAAAUUCUAAUCCUUCACUGAAUGUAGAGCUUAUGGGUGGUCUGCCCACCCCCACCCCCCGGGCAAGUUAUAACAGUAGGAACACAAGCAGCUGCCUUAUACCCUUAUCAGACCAACUAGUGGUCCAUCUAACUAAGUGUUUCUACACUGUUUGCAAGUGAGUCUCCUUUCCUAGAGAAAUUGUGUGUGCCAAAAUACACACAUAAAGUGUUGGAGUGGCAUUGCCACUAGGAAACAAUAGAGGUAUCCAUGUCUAAACCAGAUUAUAUGUAAAUUCCUCCACACAGCUGCCACCUCAGAAGUGUUUAGGCUAUCCUGAAGGCCUCGGAUACUUUUAAAGCCCCAUCGGCAACAUCCUUUAAAACCUAAAUGGCUUACCUGCUCAUGAAUUUGUCUCAUGAAUGCAGUGAAGUAGCAUCCUAGAAUCAUAUUUACUUAGCUGAUGAGACCAGAUGAAUGAAAAUGUGUCAUCUGUUCACUCCAGGCAAAAUGUAUGGUAUAUUGCUAACAUCGCAUAUUUAAAAUAAUUUUACCCAGAUUUAAAAUCUAGGGCAAAAACAAAUAUGUCCUCCUAAUCCCGGAACACACGGCAACCGUCGGAACUGCAAUAAGUGAUUUAAAGCUUAAAUUCUGUAUUAACCACCCGGCACACAUGGAAGAUUUUCUUUGAAAUAAUAAUAUGCAAAGGCUCCAAAGUCAUUAACCACUAAACAAACUAUGGGGAAAAGAAUUUUUGGAAAUGCCUGAUCUUGAAAACACAAUAGUUUCACUUUUUAUCUCUUUAGCAAAGCUGCUUAAACUCUACACAAUUGGAAGAGCCACCAUCAGCUUUUCUAAGGAAGUUUGAGAACAGCCCACUACAUUUCUUCAGAUUGCUGAAGAUUUGAGGGAACAGCAAAAGUAAUACUGUUUGUUAGGUCUGUCUCUGCAUCUUUUCCUCACCAUCUGGUGAGGACCUUACUCAGAGUUUGGCUCCCCUCUUUCAUUACAGGAAGCCAUUCUGUUUGCUUUGUUUUACAUACAAUGUUGUCUCCCCUGUAUUUUCUUUCCUCCUCUUCUUUCUCAGUCUCAUAAAUCUUUCCUCCCAUCCAUUCUCUUGUAUUAGCAAUUAGGGAUUAGUGAUGGCACACCCUAGGCUCAAGUUGGGGCAUCUUCCAGGAAUGAAUCUCUCACUCCUGUUGCCUAGUGUGACCCUGCACCAUGACAGGAUUCAACACUGGGCAACACCCAGUGAGGGGGUUGGGGUGUUUCCCAACCCUGAUGGAAUGCUAUUCCAACAGUAUGGUCUGAGUGGAAUGCCCUGCAAUCCUACUGCCAUGCCAACAUCUCUCCCCACCUAAUAAUCAUUAAGGAUUUGGCCUGUUUUCACCAAACUCUUGGUCUCCUGUGUUGACUUUCACAGGCCACAAAAUGUGCCUGCCUGGGCAAACCACUGCUGCACCCUCCCUGCAAUCCUUCCAAUGUGAGGUGUUCCCACUCACCUAGAGUCCUACCAGCACUUGGAAAAUCAAGACAUAACUUGCAAUGGAGAGGACUAACCCACACUUUACCUUUUGCACCACUCUCUUCAGGCGCUCGUCUACUUUUAAAAGCUCCGUGUCUGAGCAGUUUUGCUUUGUUUUGUUUGUUUUGUUUUGCCCUGGAGCUUUGCCCCCGAAAACGCACUCUUUGGCACCCAACUGGAGCAAACGUCAAUUCAGGUUUUCUGGAGAUUGCUGUUUACUCCAAUUGAACUUUAAAGAACAGGUGAGGACCAUGCCUGGCAAGAGCGUAGCAAAGAUAAGUGUGGAUAAGCCCAAAGUUACAGGGACAAGCAAACUCAGUUUUGGUUCCCUACCCUUUUUAAACCCAUCAUGAGCUAGAGGGCAAACCUCUGAACCAGGGCAUGUACUCAACUCAGGAAAGAUUCCUUACCUGGUUAAGAACUCAGGAGUUAUAUUUAUGGUUAUCCUAGAGCAAAGUGAGAUUCCACUGUGAAUCAGCUAAAUUACCAUUCAUCAAGAAGUUGAAUUCUUUUCAUUUGGGUGUGAAUAGGGACAAUGGCUUGCCCUACCACAACUGAUGUUAAUUAAUUCAUCAUGGCUAAGAUGGUUGUAUUGUAAUCUAUCACUCUGAAGGGUCACUGCUUAUUUUGCCUGCAUUUAAGUGCUAAUUUAGUUGUCAGUAGCUGUACUUAUUUUUUUCAAUUCUCUCUGACCAUACUGCUUGCAAAUAAUAAUAAUAAUAAUAAUGGCAAUUAUUAUUAUUAUUAUUAUUUGUAUCCCACCGACCUAACUGGGUUUGCCCAGCCACUCUGGGCGGCUCACAGCAUAUAUCAGAGCAUACUAAAACAUCAAACAUUUAAAACUUCCCAAUACAGGACUGCCUUUAAAAGUCAGAUAGUUGUUUAUUUCCUUAACAUCUGAAGGGAGGGUGUUCCACAGGGAGAGUAUCCCUACCAAGAAGGCCCUCGGCCCAGUUCCCUACAACCUCACUUCUUGCAGUGAGGGAACCAGAAGAAUAUUCUUGGAGGAGGACCUCAGUGUCUGGGCUGAAUGAUGAGAGAGGAAACUCUACUUCAGGUAUACAGGACCGUGGCUGUUUAGGGCUUUAAAGGUCAGCACCAACACUUUGAAUUGUGCUCGGAAACACACUGGGAGACAAUGAAGCUCUUUUAGGACUGGUGUUAUAUGGUCCUGGCGGCCACUCCCAGUCACCAGUCUAGCUGCCAUAUUCUGGAUUAGUUGUAGUUUCUGGGUUGCUCUCAAAGUUAGCCCCACAUAGAGUGCACUGCAGUAGUCCAAGGGGGAGAUAAGCAGAACAUGCACCACUUGGGUGAGACAGUCUGCGGGCAGGUAAGGUCUCAGCCGGCGUACCAGGUGGAGCUGGUAGACAGCUGCCCUGGACACAGAAUUGACCUGCGCCAUGGACAGCUGUGAGUGCAAAAUGACUCCCAGACUGCACACCUGGUCCUUCAGGGGCACACUUUCCUCAUUCAGGACCAGGGAGUUCUCCACACCUCCUGUCUCCCCAAAGCAGUACUUCUGUCUUGACAGGAUUCAACCUCAAUCUGUUAGCCGCCAUCCAUCCUCCAACCACCUGUAUAUAUAUACCUGCCAUUUAAUAUUGAAGUUCAUGCACCUGACAAAGCGAAUUCAAGUCCAUUGCAACUUUUGCCAUCAUAAAUUUGCAAAUCCUGAAGAUGUGACCGUUUUCCCUGCAACACAAAGUAACACAUCUACUGCUUUGGAAACUGAAUAAACAUAGAAAUGUAGGGAGCUGGCUUAUACCAAGUCUGACGUUGGUUCUUCUCUUUCAAUGUUAUCUAUACUGACUAGCAACAGAUCUCCAGGAACAGGUACUAUAGGAAUUCUGCUGUUGUGGCUUCUGAUGCAAACUGAGCUGAUUCACCCCUCCCUGAAUAAUGUGUGACUUGGAAUACAAUUAUCCUGCAGAUUUCACACUCCUAGUGGUGUAGCAGUAAAUUAUGAAGCACAGGAGCUCAUAAUGAUGGACCCUAUAGCCAUGUCCCCAUGGAGAGUCCAAAAUGAAGGCAACUGUGUUGCUCAAUGUAUGAAUAUACAUAUACACACACUACAAAGCGGAGCAGUGCAUAGCAAUGUCCUCAAUUUAUUAGGAUCAGCUGACAGUAAAAAAAGAUAUUUGUUG